AAUAAGCGGAGGAAAAGAAACUAACAAGGAUUCCCCUAGUAACUGCGAGUGAAGCGGGAAAAGCUCAAAUUUAAAAUCUGGCAGCCUUUGGCCGUCCGAGUUGUAAUUUAGAGAAGCGUCUUCCGCGCUGGACCGUGCACAAGUCUCCUGGAAUGGAGCGUCGUAGAGGGUGAGAAUCCCGUCUUUGGCACGGACACACCAGGGCUUUUGUGAUGCGCUCUCGAAGAGUCGAGUUGUUUGGGAAUGCAGCUCAAAAUGGGUGGUGAACUCCAUCUAAAGCUAAAUAUUGGCGAGAGACCGAUAGCGAACAAGUACCGUGAGGGAAAGAUGAAAAGCACUUUGGAAAGAGAGUGAAACAGUACGUGAAAUUGUUGAAAGGGAAACGCUUGAAGUCAGUCGCGUCUGCCGAGACUCAGCCUUGCCUCGGCUUGGUGUACUUCUCGGCCGACGGGUCAGCAUCAAUUUUGCCCCUUGGAUAAUGGUGAGGGAAAUGUGACACCUUUACGGGUGUGUUAUAGUCUCUCGUCGCAUGCAAGGGUCGGGAUUGAGGCACUCAGCACGCGCCUUUGGGCGUCGGGGUUCGCCCCGAUACGUGCUUAGGAUGUUGGCGUA
rnacentral:rRNA from 1 species